CCGGUGCAGCCGCCUGGUGCCACUGCUGCUGCUCCUGCCGUCCGCGCCGAGGUACCACAGGUUACAUCCGCUGCAGAGGGAUGGAGUCUCAGGCGUCCCUAAUAAUCCUAAGAAUCAAUAGCAGUGUCACGGAUGUGCAGAACAACAGCUCCGAGUUGAGAGGGGAACUUCUCAGCGGGAUUAACUCUGAAACCUAGUGACAACACUUCAAGUAUCUGCACUAUCUAUGUCCCUGCUGCUCGUUCUAGCAGAUAGUUCUUUCUAAUGAGCUUUACUCAACAGCACUAGAUUUGUCUGUAAGAGCAAAUUCCAGGGAUCAAAAAAUAAGGUUUAAGAUGCAAAUAUUCUGUGAGAUAUCCAGAUUUAAAUGCAUUUUUUUUCUUUUGUUCCUUACUCCAGGGAUAAUUUUUAAAGGAAGCAAGGAGCGAUCCUCUGGAAUGUGAGAGAAAAUUUUUUAGAAGAAAAGACCAAAUAACAUAAAAUCACAGGUUUAGUUUUGGUCUGUUUAGGGUUUUUUUAGCUUUUAACCACGGAAUUUGGAAAAGUUCCCUUCUGUCCACCCAGGGCAGUGUAAGCACAGAUGCCCCCCGUGGGGAGCAGGUCAGGCUCAUCCCCUCCUCUCCGGUUACAGAAUAUCACUGGGGAGGCCAUGGGCAUGCUGGUGGGUGCCAGGACUGGUGGCACAGGGUGAACCCCAGCCAGCCACCUCACUGCCCAGGGCAGAGAAAGCUCAGCAGAUGGGUGGUCUGUGGCAGGUGACAAAGAGACUCAGAUAAGUCCCUAAAAUGUCCAACCCAUGCUGGUAGUGGGUUCCCCCUCUGUCCCAAGGUUGGACCCCAGUGCAGGGACCUGAUCUCAGACACAGAUGCUGGGAAAAUUCACACCCCAAGACAGGUUGUUUUUCAGUUUUCUUUAAUCUUCCACAUGACUUUUUUUUUUUCCUUUUGUGGCAGGAGUACUAACUGCUAAGGAUGCAUAUGGAAUUUGAAUAUGAAUGAUAAGAACAGCUGUGUAUAUCUAUUAUGAAUGAACAUAAACAGAAAUGUAUAAACUGAGAUUUUGGGGCUUUUGGAAGAAUUAGUGCCUUUGUUCCUGGAUUUUUUUCCUAUCAAAGUUUGAACCAAAGCCCAUUAGCCUGGACUUCCCCGCAGCCGACCAAGCCAGGAGCUUCAUUUCGUCCUGGCUCUGAGCCAUGCUGAAUUCUCCUCAACAGCUCAGUGAGCCCUAAUCCUAACAAAUUUACCCAGAGAAGUGGGUCUCUUAUUACACAGUCUAAUUUGAAUGCUUUCCAAGGUUAAUUUAAGCUCCCUCUCCCUCUCCAAACACGCCUGCCCCUCCAGAGCCAGCUCCCCCCUUCCCCAGCUCCCCCCUGGCUCCCUGUUAGCGCCAGCCUGGGGGGAGCAGCCCCCUUCACCACCAAGAUGGUUUUUAAACGAGAAAAUAAUGGGAUGUGUGUCCCUGGGUCCGGACUCUGCCUGGAGGGUUUCUUAAUGCCGAGCGACUUCCUCCGCAAAUUAAUUGCAACUUUCGUUGGGCGAAAAUAGCCCUGGAAGCCCCUUCCCCACAGGCUCUUCCGCACGUGAUAUUGCUGAGUUCAUAAUCGGAUUCCUACAGCUCUGCUCUUUCCUUCCUGUCCCCCGUGUGCUGGUGAGUGCCCACGAGGGGCCGGCAGAGUGACCCACCUGGCAGCCGGGCCGUGGCCGGGAGCAUCGCUGCCACCCGGCUGAGACAGCCCUGGCUCUUGCUUUGCAACAGACUGUGCAAGAAAACCUCAGCAUGGGGAAACUGAAACCUGGCCCAGUGCAGGGAGCAGCUGUCAGAUGCAUUAGUGGAGGGAUAGAGAAGGAACCAGCUAUGCCUGUGCCUCCACAGGUCACGUCUUCUGCUGUCACAUGCUGUGCCUGCUCCCUGUCCCUCGAAGCCUUGCAGCCCAGCAGUCACCUCGCUGAGUGGAUACCCAUGUCUGAUGAUUUUGCUCCAGGCGUACGAGCUGCACGUAUCAAAGCUGAGCCAUGUCCUUUCUCCUGCCUGUUCCUGCCUCUCCCAGCCUGGGAAUCCUGGCUGCAGGGUGUUUGCACUGCUUCCCCAGCACUGUGCAGCGAGCUGGAUUUGGGGUGCCAGCUUCAGGGUGAGGGGUACCCCGGGGCAGGUCUCUGGGGUGCAGGCUGGAAGGGCCAGCACAGACAUGGCCCUAUCUGCCAGGAGGAUGCUGGUCAUUGCUGUAAGGUCAGCUUUAAAUAAUGGGAAUAAUAAAAAUGAGGCUGCCUGGAGGAAAGGAGAGAGAGCAAACUGAAUCCUAAUGAGGUUGCUUGGACACACCAGCAUGACCAUUCACAGAAAUAAUUUAAAAAAAGAAAAAAAAGCAUCAAGUUUAGAUCAAAGUAUUUGGGACACAGAAGCCAAGGCACAAUCCCACAAGGACACCCUGGGAUAGGACAUCCCUGCUGAGAUCCCACAUCCAUGAGCUGCUCCUGUUGUGCUAGGGAAAGUUCAGGGCAACCCUUGACUACAGAUGGUGUGGGAAAAGAGCCCAAAGGAUUGAGGGAGACGCUGCUUCACUCAGGAUGGGAAUUGCUAUCUUGUCACCAGUUUUACUGCAACUGGUGCAGUGCCUGGUGUGAAGGGGCAGAACAUUUACUUUUAUGGAGGGCCAAAAUUUACCAAGUUGUAGUGACAAACACUGAAAAAGGAAGUUUUAGAAGGGAAAUUAAACAUUAAUAUUUCAGGGCUUAAGGCAAUCCUCAGUGCAAAGGCAGGAAAGUAAUUAGUGUUGUAGAUGGGGAAAUAACCAGCAUAAAUGGAAGUGGGGCGAGUGCAGGUUCAAGGGGCCGCAGGGAGGAGGAUGGGCAAGGGCUCUCCAGGAGAUAGCAAGGAAUGAGCCUGGAGGCCCUCAGGAAUCCCCCCCAGCACACCAAGCCCCAGCAGCACCAUAUUUCAGGGGGGGCUGUGCUGCAAUAACCCAGCCCUCCUCCUCCUCCUUGCCUUGGCUCUGCUGGCCACAGGCCAGGUGAAACGCUCCCCCGAGCACGGCGGGGACUGGUCCAACCCCGCACAGCUCCAAUUAUCCCUGGCUGGAGACUUUCCAGGAAUCCCAUCCCCUCUCCCUCCACCGACCCUGCCUCCCCCAGCCUCCCCCCCCCCUCAAAGCAAUUUGACUUUUAUAGUAAUAACUUCUGAACCCUGGACUGGGGCCGUGCCAAGGAAAGCAGCAGAAAACAAUGUGAUGGGCCUCGGCAGGCGCGGAAACUCCAGCGACCGAGACCAGCCCUAAAAUAACUUUUGAGUGAUGGUUAUUUAUUCUGGGAGAAAGUUCGUUCAUUCACAAUUUGGAGGGGAGAUAAAUGAGGGCGGGCUGGGGCUGCACAGCGGCAGCACGCCGUGGCUGUGGAUGCAGGGCGCCUGCAGCGCCAGGGCAGCCAGCUCACCGCGGUCCUUCUGCCCAUGUCCUGCUGGAAAACCCUUUUUAAAAAUAUUUGGGUUCAUCUGAAAGCCCCGGGCUCAGGUGGAGGAGUCCAGCUCGAGGCUGGGGGUCUGCAUGUGCCACCAGGUGCAGGGGGCUGCACUUUGUGUGUUUGUGCCUGCACGUGUUUCAGCUUCCCCAGGCACGCUGGUCAGCAUGGCUGUGCCCCAUGCCACUGCCUUGCACACCUGCACCUGAGCUCUGCACGCUGAACCAUCAUUGUCCAAUGGGCAGCAGGUGGUGCAGGCAAACCCCAGGCAGGAACAGACAGCAUCCUGCUGCCAGUUCUGUUGAGUAUCAGUGUGUGCAUGGCAGCUGUCAGCCAACAUCAGCUGGGCAAGCAACAAGUGGUGCAACCUCAGUAGUUCUGCAGCUCUGAGCUGCCACAGCUUCCCUGCAAUGCACAGGAGCUGAAGCAAAGCUUCCAGAGGAGCCUUGAGCAACCUGGGUAACCCUGGGUGCUUCUGAAUUGGGGACACUCCAAAGGAGGCAGCCAGCCAGCCUGUAGCACUGCCACGUGUCUGCUCGUGCAAGUGUUUUAUGGUCCCUGUCACCACAGGCUGGGCACUCUCAGGAUCUGGAGUGCAGCGGUGACUCUGCCAGACAAGACUCAGGGUGUCUGUGUUAUCCUUGGGGUGGAUGGCUGGGAUCCCUUGGCACAUUUGGAGAAAAAAUGCUGGGGAAACCUGGUGUCUUCCUGCUGGGUGACAGGGAUGACAGAGACCUCAGAGUGUGGCUCUGUGGGCAGUGGGGUAGGAGAGGGACAGACAGUGACAUGAAGGCCUUACCAGCUUUGUGUGUGGAUCAUCUCCAAGAAUGAUACACAUCCAAGACUACCUGCCCACGAGCAUCUCAGGAGCAAGGCACCAUGGCACAGUGACAGGGGACAGCAUUGCCAUCAUCACCUACCCUGCACAUCAGAUCUUGGAGAGCGCGCUGCUCUGGAGUGAGAGACGCUGCCACAUCCCCUCCCACCAAGAGAACAACUGCACUUGCCUGGGCCACCCCUCUCCUCCUACUGCCUCCAGGCUGGAGAACCUUGCUGAGUGCUACCAAAUAUUUUUGCUGUGGAAUGACAUGUGGACACACUGGAGUUGGGGACCUGGAGCUGCAAAAGGGGAUGAUUCAGGGCUGUCCUUUGCAGAGUGAGGAGGGCACCACUUUGUGUUUAGCAGCACAGUCACUCUGGCACUGGAGAAGCUGUCCCCCGGCCGCCCUUGCGUGGGGACAGCAGGGUAGAUGCGGGUCACACACGGGGCAGGAGCAGCCCCUGGCCACGCUGGCCAGCACACACAGCUUCCUCCAUGGCACAGUGCCUGCAAUGGGUGAGACUGGCCCUGCUGGGCCGCAUCCCUCAUCCUGCCAGGCAGGAAAGGCUCCAGCCCCUCGCUCCUCCUUGCCUCUCCACAUCCCCUGCCCUCUGCCCCGCCACCGCUGCGGACAGCCCCGUGCUUGCCAGAUGAUUUCCAGCCUCGCUGCUCUUCGGGCUGUCUGAGCAGCUCGUGAUCUUGGCAGGCAGCUCAGAGCCCUACCAGUUAUCAUUACAAUGAUUAUUUGUGUCUUCCCAGCUCAAAAGGGCUUUCCUCUUACCUCGUCCCUGGCUGGCCUCAAGCCAGGUGGGACUGUGGAUGGAGAAAGAGGAGAGGGCAGCAUCCUGCACUGUCAGAGCAGGGGACUGCAGUGGCAUGCAGGAGAUGGGACAGAGGGGAGGACAGAUAUUGUUCCUCCUCCUGAAUGCUCAGAUUGGAAAUCAACACCCUCUUGGUUAAUUCAUUAGCUUUGAUUAGAAGCUCUGAAGCUCGGACCAGCUAAUGGGCUCCCUCCCUCUGGUUAAUCUCCAAGAGGAGUUCAGCAAGGUUACCUGAACCAGGAACGGUGAGGGAAGGAUGGGGAUGAGUGCAAUUGAAUUAGGAAGCUAUUAAAUUAAGAAGUCAAACUGAGCCAAAACACAGCCAUUGCAAAAUGUUCCCAUGGCUAAAACAUGGGGGAGAGCAUUAUUAAAGCACAGGGCAGAGCGCAGCACUGUGUUUGCACUCAUCUGGGUCGGGGCUGGGGGCUGGAGCAGCAGGUCCCUGUGGGCACCAGCCCAGCCUGGGGCUUGGGGUCGUGUUUGCCAGCUCCAUCCCAUGCAGAUCCCUUCACCAAUACCUUAAUCUCCCUAGGUGGGCUGCAUCUUCCUCCAAGUGGAGGUUCCUCUGCAGCCUGGAUUUUGUUGUUGAUUAAAUUAGCUCAGCAGUAACCUAUUUGUGAUGAUGAUGUGAGGUAGCAACCUUCAGUGUUUCUAUUAAAAUAUACAUGUAUAUAUUUGUUUUCUGCGGUUAUGAAUGUAAUUCCACAAUCCACUGAGGAGCCGGUAAUUUUCUGGCUGAGGUGGGAAGUUGCUGACAUCUUGUGAUACAUGACAAGAUUGAUUGUAUUUGCUUACCCUUUAACCUAAUAAAGAAAAAUAAUGUUC